rnacentral:lncRNA from 1 species
UUUUUUUCUUUUUCCUACAAGGAUGGCAUUGCCAGAAAAUUUCUGUGAGGCUUUGAAGACUCCCUCCGUGUGAUCCUCCUGAGGAAUUCAUGUAGCAGAGGUUGUUGCGAGAGGAGCCUGGUCCAAUCCUCCAGAUACAGUAUAUCUGGUGCGGUGAUCAAAAUAAAUGUCUGAACGCAACAGAGCCAUGAGACUGAAGAAGGUGAAGAUGUGGAAUUGUGCAUCCAUAUUCAGUGGGGUUUUGGUGACAGAGGAAACCUUUUUGCCACUCUAUUUGCAGGGACAGCAAAGCUGCUGACAAAGUGUUAUGACCCAGCCCUGAAGGCGAAGGUAGCUGAGAACUACAGAGAUGAAUGACUGGAGUUGCCACAGGGCUAUAAAUCUCUUGGAUAACUGGUCUGGGACAUGCACAGACUGUGUGAGGUCCUUUCAAAAUCAAAACAGCAAAGAGAAAAAUCUGGAGAAGACAUCAUGAAGCAGCAAACCAGAGGGUCUUUUCUGAAAUAGGUAAAUGAACAUAUAUCUAAACUUUCUGAAGAAUCAAUGGUUGCUCCAACAGUAAGCAAGGAUGAGUCCUUUCCUCACCAGAUUUCUGUUUUAAAGGAUUGAGAGAAGGCUAACUGUAAGUACCAGACUCUACUGUUUUUUUUUUCUUCUCACUUUACUGUGAAAUUAUGCUGAAGCUAAUUGCCUCUCUGAGGCUAAUUGCCUCUGCUGCAUGUGGUUAAAAAAGAUUCAUCUUGGGUUUAGCUCAUGCUUUCUAUAAUUCCUUUAACACAGACUUCUCAUCCAAUUCUUCAGUGCUCUUUCUCUAGGGAAAUAGACAAAAACAACCCCAAAAUAAUUCGUCUGCAGCCUAUUUGAGUUUCUUAGGGUAUCAACCAGUCUUUGGAGGUGCUCCUUUGCUACUUUGGAGAGAUUAAGAGUAGUGUUCCCAACAUGAUAUAUAUUGUGCUGUGAUCUGUUUCAUGUGCCUCAAAAGAUACAGCUGGAAAGUAGAUGGCUCAGAAAACUCAUCUGUGAGGCAAAGAUUCAGCUUUUCAGAGUGAAACUCCAGCAUCUCAAUUCAUCAAACACAUAUUUUGUGU